AAUGUUUUCAACAUGCGGACAUGAAUAUCCCUUUUUCCACAAAGGUUUGUUCACGAUGGACAGAAGUGCAAUAAACCUUUUAACUAGGGUCACGAUCAUCUUAUUAACCACCCUCACAAACAGCAGUGCUGAAAAUAUAACACAAACUCCAAACAUCACUUAUGACCCUUGCAAUGUCGCCAAUGUUCUUGACAAUGAGUGGAGAAAACCAGACAGCUUGUUUUUUAC